ensembl:lncRNA
UCGCUCUGUGAUUGGCUCGCGCUUCUGUCUCGCAGGAGCUCCGACUGGGAUGCGCUUAGAGGCGUCCCGCUGCGCAAGUCGCCGCAGACUACCGCACCUGCUGACAGACACAGACACAGACACCGGACUGAGACUGAAAUCUCGUGCGCAUUCUCUUAUCCUGGUGACGGCCAGAUCAUUGUGAUAUCCGCCAAAACCGGAGCCCCAGUCGUCUUGCAUGUGAGCCGAGAUUUCUGCGUACCCGGCAUCAGAGAGAAAACCAUGGAUGAAAAGUCAUGGGGGGGGGAACACUCCGCCAGGGUGUGACUCCUACUCGGCUGCUUGUUUGCGCGGCUUGUCCUCUCAGCAUCCACGAUGCAAACCUCCCGCAAAGCAUCCUGUAUCCUGC